rnacentral:rRNA from 1 species
UUGACCUCGGAUCAGGUAGGAAUACCCGCUGAACUUAAGCAUAUCAAUAAGCGGAGGAAAAGAAACCAACAGGGAUUGCCCUAGUAACGGCGAGUGAAGCGGCAACAGCUCAAAUUUGAAAUCUGGCCCCCGGGUCCGAGUUGUAAUUUGUAGAGGAUGCUUUUGGUGCGGUACCUUCCGAGUUCCCUGGAAACGGGACGCCAUAGAGGGUGAGAGCCCCGUCUGGGUUGGACGCCAAUCCUUUGUAAAGCUCCUUCAACGAGUCGAGUAGUUUGGGGAAAUGCUGCUCUAAAUGGGAGGGUAUAUGUCUUCUAAAGCUAAAAUAUUUGGCCAGAAGACCGAU